AUGGGGGGAACCCUGAUCCAGCCAUGCCGCGUGUGUGAAGAAGGCCUUUUGGUUGUAAAGCACUUUAAGCGAGGAGGAGGCUACUCUAGUUAAUACCUAGGGAUAGUGGACGUUACUCGCAGAAUAAGCACCGGCUAACUCUGUGCCAGCAGCCGCGGUAAUACAGAGGGUGCGAGCGUUAAUCGGAUUUACUGGGCGUAAAGCGUGCGUAGGCGGCUUUUUAAGUCGGAUGUGAAAUCCCUGAGCUUAACUUAGGAAUUGCAUUCGAUACUGGGAAGCUAGAGUAUGGGAGAGGAUGGUAGAAUUCCAGGUGUAGCGGUGAAAUGCGUAGAGAUCUGGAGGAAUACCGAUGGCGAAGGCAGCCAUCUGGCCUAAUACUGACGCUGAGGUACGAAAGCAUGGGGAGCAAACAGGAUUAGAUACCCUGGUAGUCCAUGCCGUAAACGAUGUCUACUAGCCGUUGGGGCCUUUGAGGCUUUAGUGGCGCAGCUAACGCGAUAAGUAGACCGCCUG
rnacentral:rRNA from 1 species